rnacentral:rRNA from 1 species
AUUGAACGCUAGCGGGAUGCCUUACACAUGCAAGUCGAACGGAGUGGCAAAAGGGUGAGUAAUGUAUCGGAACGGGCCCAGUAGCGGGGGAUAACUACACGAAAGCGUAGCUAAUACCGCAUACUAUUGGAGCGGCCGAUAUCGGAUUGGCAAGUUGGUGGGGUAACGGCACACCAAGGCGACGAGCCGUAGCUGGUUUGAGAGGCCGACCAGCCAAACGGGUACUGAGAACCGGCCCAGACUCCUACGUGAGGCAGCAGUGGUGAAUUUUGGACAAUGGGGGAAACCCUGAGCCAGCCAUCCCGCGUGUGCGAUGAAGGCCUUCGGGUUGUAAAGCACUUUUGGCAGGAAAGCGGUACCUGCAGAAUAAGCACCGGCUAACUACGUGCCAGCAGCCGCGGUAAUUC